rnacentral:misc_RNA from 1 species
UUUCCAUAGGUGAACCUGCGGAAGGAUCAUUAUUGUAUAACCGAGGUGCGAGGGCUGUCGCUGACCCGAAAGGUCGUGCACGCCCGAGUGCCCUCGCACACAUCCAUCUUACCCCUAUGUGCACCACCGCGUGGGUCCCCCUUUGGCUUGUUCGGAGGGGGGCUUACGUUUUCACACAAACUUUGUAUGCAGUGUAGAAUGUAUUUUUUGUUUUUGCGAUCACGCAAUCAAUACAACUUUCAACAACGGAUCUCUUGGCUCUC